AGAGUUUGAUCCUGGCUCAGGAUGAACGCUGGCGGCAUGCCUAAUACAUGCAAGUCGAACGAAGCUGAUUGGAAGCUUGCUUCUGAAAGGCUUAGUGGCGAACGGGUGAGUAACACGUAGGGAACCUGCCCAGAUCACGGGGAUAACGGUUGGAAACGACAGCUAAGACCGGAUAGGUGAUGACAAGGCAUCUUGUCAUCAUGAAAAGAGCUACGGCUCUGGAGCUGGAUGGACCUGCGGCGCAUUAGCUAGUUGGUGAGGUAACGGCUCACCAAGGCGAUGAUGCGUAGCCGGCCUGAGAGGGCGAACGGCCACAUUGGGACUGAGACACGGCCCAAACUCCUACGGGAGGCAGCAGUAGGGAAUUUUCGUCAAUGGGGGCAACCCUGAACGAGCAAUGCCGCGUGAGUGAAGAAGGUCUUCGGAUCGUAAAGCUCUGUUGUAAGAGAAAAACGGACUCCAUAGGGAAUGAUGGAGGAGUGAUGGUAUCUUACCAGAAAGCCACGGCUAACUACGUGCCAGCAGCCGCGGUAAUACGUAGGUGGCGAGCGUUAUCCGGAAUCAUUGGGCGUAAAGGGUGCGUAGGUGGCACGAUAAGUCUGUAGUAAAAGGCAGCGGCUCAACCGCUGUUGGCUAUGGAAACUGUCGAGCUGGAGUGCAGAAGAGGGCGAUGGAAUUCCAUGUGUAGCGGUAAAAUGCGUAGAUAUAUGGAGGAACACCAGUGGCGAAGGCGGUUGUCUGGCCUGUAACUGACGCUGAAGCACGAAAGCGUGGGGAGCAAAUAGGAUUAGAUACCCUAGUAGUCCACGCCGUAAACGAUGAGAACUAAGUGUUGGGGAGACUCAGUGCUGCAGUUAACGCAAUAAGUUCUCCGCCUGGGGAGUAUGCACGCAAGUGUGAAACUCAAAGGAAUUGACGGGGGCCCGCACAAGCGGUGGAGUAUGUGGUUUAAUUCGAAGCAACGCGAAGAACCUUACCAGGCCUUGACAUGGAGAUAAAGGCCCUGGAGACAGGGAGAUAGAUAUAUCUCACACAGGUGGUGCAUGGUUGUCGUCAGCUCGUGUCGUGAGAUGUUGGGUUAAGUCCCGCAACGAGCGCAACCCUUGUCAUUAGUUGCUACGAAAGGGCACUCUAAUGAGACUGCCGGUGACAAACCGGAGGAAGGUGGGGAUGACGUCAAGUCCUCAUGGCCCUUAUGGCUAGGGCCUCACACGUCAUACAAUGGUCGGAACAGAGGGAAGCGAAGCCGCGAGGUGAAGCCAAUCCCAGAAAACCGAUCGUAGUCCGGAUUGCAGUCUGCAACUCGACUGCAUGAAGUCGGAAUCGCUAGUAAUCGCGGAUCAGCAUGCCGCGGUGAAUACGUUCCCGGGUCUUGUACACACCGCCCGUCACACCAUGGGAGUGGGGUUCACCAGAAGACGUUUGCCCAACCGAAAGGAAGGCGGCGUCCACGGUGGGCUUCAUGACUGGGGUGAAGUCGUAACAAGGUAGCCGUACCGGAAGGUGCGGCUG
rnacentral:rRNA from 1 species